GAUUCUGUGGGGUGGAUUUCAAGAAUCAGGAUGGUUGUGGCUUUGACUCUCCCUCGAUUCCGAAGCAUGACAUCAAGAUGAAUAGAAAUGUCAAUAAGGAAAUCAAGGGUGGCUUGGUCAUCCCUGCAGGCCAGCUUAGUGAGGAUCUCGGCGUUGAGCCCCUGACGAAACACUGCCUUGAGAGCUGGUUCAUUCCAGCUGCUUCCAGUGGCUAACGUGCAGAAGGUCAAGUGUAGUCUAAACAAGCACUGAAGCUGAAAGCCACCUCACCAACCACAAGUCCCACGACAAGAUCUCACACCCCAUAUUUAAAGUCCGCAGUGGAAACAGUACAUAAAGAGGAUGUUUUGCAUCAUCAACAGGGGUGCUGUAUCAUGGCUGACCCUGCACUCUGACCCCAACUUCCUAACAAGCUGGGUUAUAAAAAGAAAAUAACUUCACUGUUGUACACAUUCACUGCUUUAAUGUAUAUGUGACAAAUAAAG